rnacentral:rRNA from 1 species
GGAGGGGGGUUAGCGUUGUUCAGAAUUACUGGGCGUAAAGGGCGCGUAGGCGGGCCUGCCAAGUUAGGGGGUGAAAGGCCCGGGCUCAACCCGGGAACUGCCCUUGAAACUGGCAAGCUAGAGUCCGAGAGAGGAUGGCGGAAUUCCCAGUGUAGAGGUGAAAUUCGUAGAUAUUGGGAAGAACACCGGUGGCGAAGGCGGCCAUCUGGCUCGGUACUGACGCUGAGGCGCGAAAGCGUGGGGAGCAAACAGGAUUAGAUACCCUGGUAGUCCACGCCGUAAACGAUGUGUGCUAGACGUUGGGGGUCUUAGGCCUUCGGUGUCGCAGCUAACGCGUUAAGCACACCGCCUGGGGAGUACGGCCGCAAGGUUA